CCUGUGACGAAGCGUGAGUGACGGUAAUGGGUAAAGAAGCACCGGCUAACUACGUGCCAGCAGCCGCGGUGAUACGUAGGGUGCGAGCGUUGUCCGGAUUUAUUGGGCGUAAAGGGCUCGUAGGUGGUUGAUCGCGUCGGAAGUGUAAUCUUGGGGCUUAACCCUGAGCGUGCUUUCGAUACGGGUUGACUUGAGGAAGGUAGGGGAGAAUGGAAUUCCUGGUGGAGCGGUGGAAUGCGCAGAUAUCAGGAGGAACACCAGUGGCGAAGGCGGUUCUCUGGGCCUUUCCUGACGCUGAGGAGCGAAAGCGUGGGGAGCGAACAGGCUUAGAUACCCUGGUAGUCCACGCUGUAAACGGUGGGUACUAGGUGUGGGGUCCAUUCCACGGGUUCCGUGCCGUAGCUAACGCUUUAAGUACCCCGCCUGGGGAGUACGGCCGCAAGGCUAAAACUCAAAGGAAUUGACGGA
rnacentral:rRNA from 1 species